UACGUAGGGGGCUAGCGUUGUCCGGAAUCAUUGGGCGUAAAGCGCGUGUAGGCGGUCCGGUAAGUCCGCUGUGAAAGUCGAGGGCUCAACCCUCGAAUGCCGGUGGAUACUGUCGGGCUUGAGUACGGGAGAGGCGAGUGGAAUUCCUGGUGUAGCGGUGAAAUGCGCAGAUAUCAGGAGGAACACCGAUUGCGAAGGCAGCCCCCUGGGCUAACACUGACGCUCAUGCACGAAAGCGUGGGGAGCAAACAGG
rnacentral:rRNA from 1 species